UUUUGUCUGGCAGAAUACAAAAAGGUGUCACAGAGUUGGCAUUUGAAUUGGAUUUUGGAAGAUGAAUGGAAAUGCACUAGCUGGAGAUGAAAAGAACAUAAUGGACUGAGGAAAGUUCCUUUCCAAAAAUCAAGAAAGCUGUAAAAGGCACGGGGAUUUUAAUAAUUAUCUUCAGUUGGAAUUACAUCAUUCAUCAACAACUUUUGAAACAUAUACGAAAAUUAUCUAAAAAUCCUCAAAAUACCAAUUCAGAAGGAACAUCUACAGGAACACCUGACGAGGCUGCACCCUUGGCAGGAAGAACACCUGACACGGCUGAAAGCUUGGUGGAAAAAACACCUGAUGAGGCUGCACCCUUAGUGGAGGGAACAUCUGACAAAAUUCAAUGUCUGGGGAAAGCAACAUCUGGAAAGUUUGAACAGUCAGCAGAAGAAUAUGUUAGGCCAUGUGUCUCUAUAACAGCUAUUGAACUCUGCAUUGUACAGUGAAAGCAGUCAUAGAUAAUGUGUGAGCAAAUAGGCAUGAUUGCACUCCAAUAAAACUUUGUAUAAAAAACCAUUUGGUAAGCUGAAUUUGGCCUGUGAUAUAUAGUUUCCUGGCCCUUCACACAGAAGAUAGAUGGAGUGUAAUUACAUAAAAAGUUUUAAAGACAAAGU
rnacentral:lncRNA from 10 species